CAUGCACCAGUUGGGGUCCCUCGGCCUGGCCUGCGGGGAUCGGGCCCAAACCUGCUCUCCGACAUCCCCUGACAGGUCCCGGAUUACGAGAGGGCGCAGGCCAGGCCGAGGGACCCCACUGGUGCAUG
rfam:Myotis brandtii contig323987, whole genome shotgun sequence.